rnacentral:rRNA from 1 species
GACGAACGCUGGCGGCGUGCUUAACACAUGCAAGUCGAACGAUGAACCCGGAGCUUGCUCCGGUGGAUUAGUGGCGAACGGGUGAGUAACACGUGAGUAACCUGCCCUUGACUCUGGGAUAACUGCGGGAAACUGUAGCUAAUACCGGAUACGACCCUCGGCGGCAUCGCCAGGGGGUGGAAAGAAUUUCGGUCAAGGAUGGACUCGCGGCCUAUCAGCUAGCUGGUGAGGUAACGGCCCACCAAGGCGACGACGGGUAGCCGGCCUGAGAGGGUAACCGGCCACACUGGGACUGAGACACGGCCCAGACUCCUACGGGAGGCAGCAGUGGGGAAUAUUGCACAAUGGGCGCAAGCCUGAUGCAGCAACGCCGCGUGAGGGAUGACGGCCUUCGGGUUGUAAACCUCUUUUAGUAGGGAAGAAGCGAAAGUGACGGUACCUGCAGAAAAAGCACCGGCUAACUACGUGCCAGCCGCCGCGGUAA